GGGUCAGUAGGUUGGUCGUGCCACCGGUACGUACUGGUCUCAUUGAUUCCUCCUUCCUGAAGAACCGUAAUGCCAUUAAUUUGGUGUUGCGGGGAAACAGGACUGUUACUUUGAAAAAAUUAGAGUGUUUAAAGCAAGCUAACGCUUGAAUACAUUAGCAUGGAAAAAUGAAAUAGGACGAUCGAUCCUAUUUUGUUGGUUUCUAGGAUUGACGUA
rnacentral:rRNA from 1 species